UACGGAGGAUGCAAGCGUUAUCCGGAUUCAUUGGGUUUAAAGGGUGCGCAGGCGGAUUAUUAAGUCAGUGGUGAAAUGUAACGGCUCAACUGUUAAGCUGCCAUUGAUACUGAUAGUCUAGAGUAUAGUUGAAGUGGGCGGAAUGUGUCAUGUAGCGGUGAAAUGCUUAGAUAUGACACAGAACACCGAUCGCGAAGGCAGCUCACUAAACUAAAACUGACGCUCAUGCACGAAAGCGUGGGGAUCAAACAGG
rnacentral:rRNA from 1 species